CAUAGUCCGUCAUCUGCUGCCAUGUGACAAGCAGUUCUGCAGGUGCACUUUAUGGCCCAUUCUCUACCAUGGUUGUUGCUCCUCCUUGGUCUUUUCAUAGGGUCAGGAACACUGGGAGAAGAUACAGUGGGGAAGAUAUCCUUGGGGAGUUGGCCACUUGGCCCCUGGAGGUCCCAGCAGAGCAAGAGGUAGAAAGUGUUACAUGGAGCUCUUGAGAGCGUGUUGCUGUUUUACAACAAGGAUGAACAGACAAACCAGUUCUGGUUUCUGAGACUCAGGGACCCUACAGUGGAUGACUGAACAUUCCCCACCACAGCUACUCUCUUCAGAUCAGCCCCCUGAGGCUGCAGGACUAUAAGCCUAUAAGCCUGGGUAACUCUGCAUACUUCCUCAAUCAUUAUCACCAGGGAUUUCACCCUGCUUGUCUAUGAGAUGCUGUAGGAGUUGAACAUCUUUGCCAGCUCCCAGAUCAUGAAGGAUGGGACCUGCUUCAUCACCCUGGCCUGCUCCCUGGAACAGGCUGGAGAGAAUGUGCAGAACAGCUGGGAGCCUCCUAGUCAUGGGGCAGUUGUGUCCCAUGGGGGGACCACUCUCAGUGUCCCCUGGAUAUCUGGGGAAAGUGAGAGCUAUCACUGCACUGCCAGGAAUCCCACCAGCCAGAGCUCCAGCUCUGUCCUUACCAGACCCCUUUGCUCAGGUAAUGUUUUUCCUUCUCUGACUCUCUUCUUCCUGGCAAGCCUUGGUCUAGUUUCUUAGCAUCCCUGCCUCUCUUCCUCUUGGAUCCAGGAGCAAUUGAAGAAAGGGAGGAGCCAGAUUAGUUGGCAGCAGGAAGUGUCUCUGGGGUGGCAGGAGACAAGGGCUCUGGAGCCACCAUCCCAGGGCCCGCUUCGGUCCACCUUUUCUCUGUUGGCCUCGGUCCUCUGUGCCUGACCUGCUGCAGACUCAGCGAGGCAUUCAGCUCAUUCCUGGGACUCCCUGAGGAAAAGUGCUGCCUCACCCACACUCAACCCUGCACAGCCCACUGAGGAGAGCUUCGAAACCCCUUGCCUGUGUUCUCAGAGAGGACUUACCACCUCCCCUUGCCUAGAGGUGCUCUGAGAGACACUUGAGGCUGUGCUCUUCUGGCAGGCAAGGGGAGGCCUCUCAUGGUGUCCCUGGUCCCAUUUGGCUUAGUCAUAGGUCAUGGCUGGAAACUGUGUUAGUUCAAACAUAUCCUGUCUCUCCUCUUCUCAGUUGCCUUCUGAAACAGCUGUCUUUCCUGACUCCAGAUCUUCAAUCAUUCAUUCUCCACCCACUUGCUGCUGAUUUGCCCCUCCAGCUACAUCCUGAUGGAUAAAUUCAUUGGCCACUUUUAAAUUCUGUUAUCCUUGGCUUCUCCCAGCACUUGACACAUUAACCUGCUCUCCUUUGUCACCUGGGCUGCUCUCUCCUGGGACAUCUUCCCUUGGAUCAGGAUCCUUCUCAAGACUGGUGCCUCAGGCCUUUCUCCACUCCCCUUGUUUUCUUUCUGUUGCCAAAGGCAGAAAUGCCAGUGUCAUUUAGGGCCCCUCCUCUUCCCCACCACAUCCUGCCAUUGCUCACCCUUUCCCUUUAUUCCUUGCCUGGACCACUCCACAAACUCCUAACCACUCCUUCCUUCCUUAAUCUUUUCCUUCCCAAUCAUCUUCCAGAUUGCACUGCCAGAGGUCUAAUUCUAAAUUAAGAAAUGCUUGUGUUACUUUUUAGCUUAAAACUUUAGGACAUGAGAGGGAAUGUGGAAGUGUUGAUUAAACGGUAAUAGUUUCAGACAGACAGGAGGAAUAGGUUUUGAGAUCUAUUGCACAGAAGGCGACCAUGGUCAAUAAUAAUGUAUUAUACAGUUCAAAAUAGCUGAGGGAGUACAUUUCAAAUGUCUCACCGUAAAAAAUGGUAGGUGAGUGAAGAUAUGUUAAUUAAUUUGAUUUAAUCAUGCCACAUUGUAUACAUGAUCAAAAAUCACAUUGUUCACCGUAAAUGCAUGCUGCUGUGAUUUGUCAAUCAAAAAUAGUAAAUAUUUUAAAAACUAAAAAAAAGCCCUAUGAUGUCUGCCCACUAUCUAAGGUAUUUAAACAAUUAUUCAUUCAUUUAAGCCACAGGUAUUUACUGAGUAUCUUUUAUGAACCCUGUGCUGUUCUAACCAUUGUAGAUACAAUGAAGAAGAGGUCCAGAUAAAUUUCUACCCCUCAUGUAAAUCACUGUUACAAUCAUCACAACCUGCACCUGACUAGCUUUUUGGCCAUUUCAUCUUCCAGUCAGCCCUGGGAAAUGACUUUGGGAGAGUUCUGUAUUUUGUUGUACAAAGACAACAUUGAAUGUGUUCUAUUAUGGGCUUUUUGUGUCUGUGCUCUCCACUGAACUGUGAGAAAAACACAUUCUUACUGUUCUCUGCAUCUCUAAUACACAACGAGUAAUAGGUGUCAAAAAAUGUGGGUCUGACAAGUAUUUAAAAAGCAUCUGCGCUGGGUGUUGUGGGACACAUGCAGACAUGAUAAUUGGCUGUAGACGUUCACAGUCUCCCUCUCUCUACGGGGCCUGAUGGACAUUUCAGUUCCGCCCCCACAUUCGGCUACCUGAAGGGGCCUCCAGCCCAGCCAUGCCUCUGACUUGUCUUCCUUCAAAAUCAUUUUCCCUGUUUCUCUGUCUUCCUGUCUUCCUUUUCUCCCAAUUACUAACUUGUGGUCAUUGUUCAUUCAGCCUCCUUUGUACCCCACUCCCUGAGGAAAGAAUUUCUUCCUUUUUUGAUUCUGGGAGUUUUGGGGAUUGAAUAGAUUUCACCUGGACAUGGGGAGAAACCAAGAAGAGAAGUACGAGAUGGCGGCCAUCCUGUGAGACACAGAGUUAAAGAAGUUCGCAUGUGGAGUGCUGCCUGAGGCCAGCAUUUCCUGGUGUGAGAGAAGGACAUUGACACUGAUUAAGGCAUAAACCCUAUUUCAUUUACAAACUGAGUUCAAAAUUAUCAGGAAACUGCUAUGUGUCUUCUGUUUAAAAUAAUCUGUUUAUGUUUUAUUGAAGUGUGUUUUUAAGUGUUCAGAAAGAAAAAGGAGCUUAUUUAUUUAAGAAAAAUUGAAUGGAACAUAAAAACAUUGUUAUUGUCACACA
rnacentral:lncRNA from 1 species